rnacentral:ncRNA from 1 species
CAAAGGCUUGGUCCUGACUUUACUGUCAGCUCUAGCUAAACUUACACAUGCAAGUAUCCGCACCCCUGUGAGAAUGCCCCACAGUUUCCCGCCCGGAAACAAGGAGCCGGUAUCAGGCACGGUCUUUAGCCAGCCCAUGACACCUUGCUUAGCCACACCCUCAAGGGACAUCAGCAGUGAUAAACAUUAAGCCAUGAGUGAAAACUUGACUUAGUUAAAGCUUAAAGAGCCGGUAAAACUCGUGCCAGCCACCGCGGUUAUACGAGAGGCUCAAGUUGACAGACAACGGCGUAAAGAGUGGUUAAGGGAAACUUUCAAACUAAAGCCGAACGUCCUCAAAGCUGUUUAACGCUUCCGAGUUAAGAAGCCCCACUACGAAAGUAGCUUUACCUCACCUGACCCCACGAAAGCUGUGAAACAAACUGGGAUUAGAUACCCCACUAUGCUCAGCCCUAAAAUUUGAUAGGCCCCUACGCCCCCUAUCCGCCCGGGUACUACGAGCACCAGCUUGAAACCCAAAGGACUUGGCGGUGCUUCACAUCCGUCUAGAGGAGCCUGUUCUAGAACCGAUAACCCCCGUUAAACCUCACCCUCCCUUGCUUGUACCGCCUAUAUACCGCCGUCGUCAGYCUAACCUGUGAAGGCCUAGAAGUGAGCAAAAUUGGUAAGACCCAAAACGUCAGGUCGAGGUGUAGUGAAUGAGAGGGGAAGAAAUGGGCUACAUUUCCUAAAUUAGGAAAUACGAAUAAUGAACUGAAAUAAGCAUUUGAAGGUGGAUUUAGCAGUAAGCAGAAAAAACAGAGUGUUUCGCUGAAGUCAUGGCAAUAAAGCACGCACACACCGCCCGU